rfam:Gossypium raimondii Chr12_contig_38, whole genome shotgun sequence.
CCAAUGGAGUUUUUAAACUCCACAAACAGAACUAGAAAGUUGACA